GAGGAGUAAGGGAGAGAGAGGGAGGAGAGAGAGUGCAAACAAUGUCAUUCUGUUCAGGAGGCAAUGCUGCAGUCAACUUUGCAGUGCCAUGAAAGCACCUCACCAGCAACCAAGAGGCUCAGAGUGAGUGCAGAGAAGUUUUCCUCCUCUCCACCUCGGGUGAGAUGCCGUCCGGGACUCAUCUGUAGGUCAUCAGUCUGUCGACGAGCUGCAGUGGUGAGCAGCACCAGGGCUGUACAGUUCAGUGCUUUGGAGAUGCUCAGGCAGCCAGAUUGAGACCAUAUUGUAGCAAGAGCAGGCUCAAACAACCAGUCCGGCUGUUGGUGGCGUGUUGGAACAUGCCUUGACUUGUUGUACUGCCUGAGUCAGGCAGAGAUACAGACAGCCACAGAGAGAGGAAGAGAGAGAGAAGAUGCUUGUGGUCAACAGUUUGCCAGUGUGAAGUGACCCACACAAAGAGAAAUCCCUGCUGCACCAUGGACAGACUCCUGUUGAUGUCAACAACAGAGUGCACUCCCUGGAGAAGAGUGUGGAUGGAGGAGCUCCACUGCUGCCUCGCUGCUUGAGCUUUUGGCUGUUGGCAUGGGACCACGCCACCCCCCAGGGGGUUUUAUUGCGAUGCCAUUGCCGUCCAACCACCAUGACCACCAGGAAGCUGGGCAUGAAACGUGUGAGUGUCCGUAGUGCCAGACUCACAGGUGGAAGUAUACAACAAAUACCAACCAGGCCCAAGAUCCGGCUCAGGAAAGGCAGGCUGUGGGGCAGGCAGGGAGGCAGGCGGAGGGACACGGCUGCUGUGGGUGUUUCUUUGGCAGUGUCUUAGCUGGUUGUUGUGAGGAGUGAGAACGAAGCAAUCAGCAAGUAUACUGCCGCAGAAAUUCUUCGCAAUAGAGGCCCAGGGAUCAGCGAUCACGAGAGGGAGGACAAGAUGCAUGUCAGCAUUGUAGCAAACAUGGAUCCCACUGCUACUGUAAGUUUUUACAUGUUUCCGGACAUUGAAAUUAACAAACAGCUGAGGACCUGAUAAAGAAUUAACUGAAGAUAGAUCACCUGAGUGCAUGGCCUUUUUGUUAACAGCCUCCACAAUAUUUAUGAUUGGAUCAAAGCAUCAAACGUCUUCACAAUGUGUUUUGUACUUUUGUGGUCCUCUGCUGCCAUCGUGUGAAUGAAAGCAACCUCCCAGCAUGCUUUUGGCCAUUUAACACUGCAGCAAUUUGUAAAA